AUGUCAUGUGGAAGGGCUGGAUCCUGGACAGGAGAACAUGGAGGCUGGGUUGAGCUUUCUGGUAAAAUGCAAGUCUUGCCAAUAUUACUUGCUCAAUCAUGUCAGAAAAUAGAUGAUCGCAUCUAUAUUCAGACUCUUGAUCUUUUUGCUCAAUUGCGUCGGGAACAAAGGUACCCCCAUUUGAGGCUUGAUGGUGCUACAUCUAUCAGAAAAAGAUAUUAG